rnacentral:rRNA from 1 species
CGGGAAUUUUGGGCAAUGGGCGAAAGCCUGACCCAGCAACGCCGCGUGAGGGAUGAAGUAUUUCGGUAUGUAAACCUCGAAAGAAUGGGAAGAAUAAAUGACGGUACCAUUUAUAAGCUCCGGCUAACUACGUGCCAGCAGCCGCGGUAAUACGUAGGGAGCAAGCGUUGUUCGGAUUUACUGGGCGUAAAGGGCGCGUAGGCGGCGCGGUAAAUCACUUGUGAAAUCUCUGAGCUUAACUCUGAACGGCCAAGUGAUACUGCUGUGCUAGAGUGCGGAAGAGGCAACCGGAAUUCUUGGUGUAGCGGUGAAAUGCGUGGAUAUCAAGAGGAACACCUGAGGCGAAGGCGGGUUGCUGGGCCGACACUGACGCUGAUGCGCGAAAGCCAGGGGAGCAAACG